GUUUAGACUCGUAGCAUAUAGCUCAGUAACACGUGGCCAAACUACCCUACAGACCGCGAUAACCUCGGGAAACUGAGGCCAAUAGCGGAUAUAACUCUCAUGCUGGAGUGUCGAGAGUUAGAAACGUUCCGGCGCUGUAGGAUGUGGCUGCGGCCGAUUAGGUAGAUGGUGGGGUAACGGCCCACCAUGCCGAUAAUCGGUACAGGUUGUGAGAGCAAGAGCCUGGAGACGGUAUCUGAGACAAGAUACCGGGCCCUACGGGGCGCAGCAGGCGCGAAACCUUUACACUGCACGACAGUGCGAUAGGGGGACUCCGAGUGUGAGGGCAUAUAGCCCUCGCUUUUCUGUACCGUAAGGUGGUACAGGAACAAGGACUGGGCAAGACCGGUGCCAGCCGCCGCGGUAAUACCGGCAGUCCAAGUGAUGGCCGAUAUUAUUGGGCCUAAAGCGUCCGUAGCUUGCUGUGUAAGUCCAUUGGGAAAUCGACCAGCUCAACUGGUCGGCGUCCGGUGGAAACUACACAGCUUGGGGCCGAAAGACUCAACGGGUACGUCCGGGGUAGGAGUGAAAUCCUGUAAUCCUGGACGGACCACCAAUGGGGAAACCACGUUGAGAGAACGGACCCGACAGUGAGGGACGAAAGCCAGGGUCUCGAACCGGAUUAGAUACCCGGGUAGUCCUGGCUGUAAACAAUGCUCGCUAGGUAUGUCACGCGCCAUGAGC
rnacentral:rRNA from 1 species